CGAACCGCCGAAUCUCGGCAUCUGUCGGCCGCAUCCUUGGAGGUGUCCCUGCAAUACCGACAAAAAUGUUAAAGACCGGACCAAGAGCCAAAUGAAAAGAAAGACCGGGGGAUCGGGCGAUACCUAUUCGGGGGACCAGACUCAAGCCAGCAUCAUAGAGAGCUUGUUCGGUAACAAGCUCCCUCUGCUUCGGGACCGACAUGUCUUUCAGUCGGUGGAAGUCCUCCCGGUCGUCCGCCUCCACCCGGCUGUUGUCGUUGGCUUCGGUCCGGGGCACGCCCCAGCGGGAAGGAAAGCCCCAGGGAGAUGAGGAGGAAACAAAAAAGAAUUGGUUCUUCCACCCAUGAAUGGAUGAUGGAAGAUCGGUGAUGAAGGCAAGACCCUUCCGGGGGUUGAAGAGCCACCACCCUCGGGCUUUAGGGUGGGGUCGAAGCACAAAGAAUGCCCGGAAGAGUGAAACGCGGGGG
rnacentral:lncRNA from 1 species